UUGCGGCCAAAUCACCUUGUAACACCGGUUCCCAUACGAACAUCAAAGUUAAGUAACACCGAAGCCUGGUCAUUACCUCGAUGGGUGACCGUUUGGGAAUACCAGGUGCUGUAAG